UACGUAGGGGGCAAGCGUUGUCCGGAAUCAUUGGGCGUAAAGCGCGUGUAGGCGGUCCGGUAAGUCCGCUGUGAAAGUCGGGGGCUCAACCCUCGGAUGCCGGUGGAUACUGUCGGGCUUGAGUACGGAAGAGGCGAGUGGAAUUCCUGGUGUAGCGGUGAAAUGCGCAGAUAUCAAGGAGGAACACCAAUUGCGAAGGCAGCGCCGCUGGGACGUUACUGACGCUGAGACGCGAAAGCGUGGGGAGCAAACAGG
rnacentral:rRNA from 1 species